UACGUAGGGCGCAAGCGUUGUCCGGAAUCACUGGGCGUAAAGGGCGCGUAGGUGGUGUCGUAAGUCUGUGGUGAAAGCCCGGGGCUCAACCCCGGGUCUGCCGCGGAGACUGCGAGACUCGAGUACUGUAGGGGCUGGUAGAAUGCCGGGUGUAGCGGUGGAAUGCGUAGAGAUCCGGAAGAACACCGGUGGCGAAGGCGGCCUGCUGGGCAGUAGCUGACACUGAGGCGCGACAGCGUGGGGAGCAAACAGG
rnacentral:rRNA from 1 species